CCUUAACAAGGUCGGCACACGUCCGAUACGACCGAUUGGACAAAUCACACUGAAAAGACCAAUGCCAGGUACUGAACUUUGAUAUCACGGUGAAACAUUAUAAGUUAAACGUUCGAUUGAGAUCCAUAAACUUCGUUAUCAGCUCUUGGUAGAGCGAUGACGAAUAGUACAAAGAUUGGAGAGAUCUGAAUAGUAAUCAAAUUGGCGAUAUGGCUUAAGUGGCGGACAAAAGAGAUACAACUUUCGGCUAUUCGAGCUCUGAAAUGAUGUCAAACUGUUGAUACUGGUCGUGACCUUUUG